AAGGUGGAUGCCUAGGCUCUCGGAGGCGAAGAAGGACGUGAUAAGCUGCGAAAAGCUGCGGAGAGGAGCAAAUAUCCUUUGACCCGCAGAUCUCCGAAUGGGGCAACCCAUCAACGCAAGUUGAUAUACCGCAAAGCGGUAGGCAAACGCGGGGAACUGAAACAUCUCAAUACCCGCAGGAAAAGAAAAUAAGAAUGAUUCCGCAAGUAGUGGCGAGCGAACGCGGAAGAGCCCAAACCGGUUCCGUUUCGGCGGAGCCGGGGUAGAAGGACCAACAGAAAAGACAGUAGCGCAUAGCCGAACAGUAUUGGAAAAUACGAUCAAAGACGGUGAUAAUCCGGUAGGCGAAAUGCAAAGCAGUCGAGUUGGGAUCCUGAGUAGUGCAGGACACGAGAAAUCCGGUACGAAUUCGCGGGGACCAUCCCGUAAGGCUAAAUACUCCCGAGAGACCGAUAGCGCACCAGUACUGUGAAGGAAAGGUGAAAAGAACCUCGAACAGAGGAGUGAAAAAGACCCUGAAACCAUUCGCCUACAAGCGGUCGGAGCCACUGCGUGUGGUGACGGCGUGCCUUUUGCAUAAUGAACCUACGAGUUACCCAUACCGGCGAGAUUAAGCGAUUCAGUCGCGGAGUCGAAGCGAAAGCGAGUCCUAACGAGGCGGAUAGUCGGUAUGAGUAGACGCGAAACCAAGUGAUCUACCCAUGAGCAGGUUGAAGGUUAGGUAACACUAACUGGAGGACCGCACCGGUAAACGUUGAAAAGUUUUCGGAUGACUUGUGGGUAGGAGUGAAAGGCCAAUCAAACUUGGAGAUAGCUCGUACUCCCCGAAAUGCAUUUAGGUGCAGCCUCGGGCAGUAUGUAAUAGAGGUAGAGCCACUGAUAAGUCGCGAGGGUUUCAACGCCUAUCAAGACUUGACAAACUCCGAAUACUAUUACAGGAACCCCGGGAGUGAGGGCAUGGGUGCUAAGGUCCAUGUCCGAGAGGGAAAGAACCCAGACCAUCAGCUAAGGUCCCGAAAUAUACGCUAAGUUGAAGUUAAAACGAAGUAGAGACCCUGAGACAGCUAGGAUGUUGGCUUGGAAGCAGCCAUUCAUUUAAAGAGUGCGUAACAGCUCACUAGUCGAGGGACUCCGCAUGGAUAAUAAUCGGGCAUAAGCGUAUUACCGAAGCUAUGGAAUAUCAUUGGUAGGGGAGCAUUCCAGUCGCUGCAGAAGAUACACCUUGAGGUGUGUUGGAGGCCCUGGAAAAGCAAAUGUAGGUAUAAGUAACGAUAAAGGGGGCGAGAAACCCCCUCGCCGCAAGACCAAGGCUUCCUGAUCAACGCUAAUCGGAUCAGGGUAAGUCGGGACCUAAGGAUAAUCCGAGAGGAGAGGCCGAUGGAAGAAACGGUUAAUAUUCCGUUACUACGUAUAUUAGUGACGGGGAGACGGAGAAGUGACACAUCCGCCUGCUGACGGAAUAGCAGGUUAAAGAGAGUAGAUAAUGGCAGUAUAGGCAAAUCCGUACAGCCAGUCGAACUUGACAGUACCGGGCGUCUACGGACAAACGGAUAGCGAUGGUAAACAGGCUCCCAAGAAAAUCCUCUAAACAUAUAAUAUACGUACCCGUACCAAAACGGACACACGUGGUCGAGUAGAACAUACUAAGGCGCUCGAGAGAUUCACGGUUAAGGAACUAGGCAAAUUGACCCUGUAACUUCGGGAAAAAGGGUCCCUGCUGGAAGGCAGGGCGCAGAGAAUAGGUCCAGGCAACUGUUUAACAAAAACACAGGGCUGUGCAAAAUUGAAAGAUGAAGUAUACAGCCUGACACCUGCCCGGUGCUGGAAGGUUAAGAGGAGAUGUCAUCGCAAGAGAAGCAUUGAAUUGAAGCCCCAGUAAACGGCGGCCGUAACGAUAACGGUCCUAAGGUAGCGAAAUUCCUUGUCGGGUAAGUUCCGACCUGCACGAA
rnacentral:rRNA from 1 species